rnacentral:misc_RNA from 1 species
GCUGACACGCUGUCCUCUGGCGACCUGUCGCUGGAGAGGUUGGGCCUCUGGAUGCGAGCGGGACUCUGGCCUCCCGGUGACCCGGCUAGCCGGCCCUGCUCCCGCUUGAGCCGCCUGCUGGGGCCCGUGAGCCUGCGGCCCUCUCGUGCGUCCGAGCGUCCCGACUCCCCCCGGUGCCGGCCCGGGUCCGGGUCUCUGACCCACCUGGGGGCGGCGGGGAAGGCGGCGAGGGCUACCCUGCCCCCGUGCGCUCUCCGCUGCGGGCACCCGGGGCGGCCGUGACAACCCCCCCCACCCCGUUGGCUCCGUGCCGUUGCGUGUCAGGCGUUCUCGUCUCCGCGGGGUUGUCCGCCGCCCCUCCCCCCAGAGCGGGGAACGGCCGGGCUGGUCGGCUCGGCUCGCUGGCUGGCCGGCUGGCCGGCUCCCGCUCCUGGGGGCUCUUCGUGAUCGAUGUGGUGGCGUCAUGCUCUCCCGGGCAGGGUCCGAGCCGCGGCGACGGGCGAGGGGCGGACAUUCGUGGCGAAUGGGACCGUUCUUCUCGCUCCGCCCGCGGGGGCCCCUCGUCUCUCCUCCCCGCCUGCGGGUGGUGCGCUGGGGAAGGCGAGGGGCGCGGAACCCGGCCCGACCUCGCUGUCCCGUCCCUGCCUUCCGCCUCGCGGGGCGGGUCGGCGGGGUCCUCUGACGCGGCGGGCACCCCUCGCUCUCGCCUCCUGUGGUUGUCGACUCGCGGGCGGCCCCCCUCCGCGGCGGUGGGGUGCUGUCCCGCCGGCCCGUCGUGCUGCCCUCUCGGGGUUCGCGCGAGCGUUGGCUCCGCCCGGGCCUUUGCGGUGCUCCUGGAGCGCUCCGGGUUGUCCCUCAGGUGCCCGAGGCCGAGCGGUGGUGUGUCUUUCCCGCCCCCGGCGCCCCCUCUUCCGGUCGCCGCCGCGGUGUCCGCGCGUGGCUCCUUGAGGGAGCUCGUUGGUGUCGGGGGGGUCGAGGCGGUGGAGUGAGACGCGCCCCUCCCACGCGGGGAAGGGCGCCGCGUGGUCCGGCGAGCGCACGUGUCCCGUGCUUCCCCCCCUGGCGGGUGCGCGCGGGGGCCGUGUGAGCGGUCGCGGUGGGCUCUCGGGCCGGUGACGCGUGCGCCGGCCGGCGGGCCGCCGAGGGGCUACCGUCCUGCCUCCGACCGGCCGUGUGUGGGUUGACUUCGGAGGUGCUUUGCCUCGGAAGGAAGGAGGCCGGUGGACGUGGGGGGGCCCCGGGGGGUCGCGCGCAUGCGCGCCGGCCGGGUCCCCCGCCCUGACCGCGAACGCUCGAGGUUGCCGCACGCGGGUGUGUUUCCUCUUACCGCGGGCCCCUCCCUCCCUCGCGUGGUCCCCGGGCGUCCCCGAGCGCCUCUGCGGACCCGACGAGGGGCGACUGGCGGGUGGGGAGAGUGACCCGCCCUCGGUGAGAAAGCCUUCUCUAGCGAUCCGAGAGGUUGUGCCUUGGGGUACCGGAUCCCCCGGCCCGCCGCCUCUCUCUGUGCGUUGAUGGUAGCGCUCGCCGUAGCGACCCGCUUGCGGCGGACCCUCCUCCGCUUCCCCCUCGACGGGGUGAGGGGGGGGGGGAGAGCGAGGGUUCCGCCGGCCCCCGACCGCGGUGGUGGGGGGCCGAGCGCGGCUCGUCGCCUACUGUGGCCCGCGCCUCCCCCUUCCGAGUCGGGGGAGGAUCCCGCCGGGCCGGGCCCGGCGUCCUUAGCGGUUCGGAGGCUGUGCCGCGAGCGGCGGGUGUGCGCGGCGUUCCGUCCGGCGCGUGUGACCCCUCUCCGCUGUCGAGCCGGCUGUCCGCCCGCUCCCGUGCCGAGUCGCGACCGGUGCCGGCGACCGCGUCUGCGUGGCAAGGGUUUGGGCCGCCUGGCCCCCGGAAAGCGUCCCACGGUGGGGGCGCGCCGGUCUCCCGGAGCGGGACCGGGUCGGAGGAUGGACGAGAAUCCCGGGCGACGCGGCCCUGGCGUCGGGUGUGUGGCUGUGGUCGCCUCGUGGGGUGGGGUUCCCGGUGGCCGGGGCCCCGGGUCUCGUGAGGAGGCGGGUCUCGGUGGGUGCCGAGGGCCGUCCGGCGUCCCAGGCGGUGCGCCGCGGGAACCGCCCUCGUGUCUGUGGCGGUGGGAUCCCGUGGCCGUGUUUUCCUGGUGGCCCGGCCGUGCCUGAGGUUUCUCCCCCGAGCCGCCCCUCCGCGGGCUCCCGGGGGCCCUCGCCCUCGCGGUCCCUGGCCCCCCUCGCCUCUCCGCGUUGGCGCCCCCUUCCCCGCCCGCCGCCUGCCGAGUCCCCUCUCCCCGAGCGGCUCACCGCCGGCUUUACCGUCGGUGGCGGCCCCGUCCGGGCCCGAACCCGGCACCGCCUCGUGGGGCGCCGCCGCCGGCCACCGGUUGGCCCGGUGUCCGCGUCCCCCGGCGCGUGCGCGCUUUCGGGGCCGGGUCGGUGGCGCGCCCCGGCUUGGGCCCGGUGGGCGCCCGGAGGGUUUUGGGGGUCGGCCCGCGGCGCGUGCGGGGGGAGGAGGGCGUUCCGGGGGGCUGGCCGCGACCGCGGCGGCGUUGGGGGGGGGGCCGCGGGGAUCCGCCGAGGGCCGGUCGUCCGCUCCGGGUGCCGCGCGCGGGGGGCCGCCUCCGUGCGUGUGCCCCCGGCCGCGGUCGGCUGCGCUCGACGGGUUCCCGCGGUGUCCCCCUCCCCCGCCGGCCGCCCUUCUCGCGCCUUCCCCGUCGCCUCGGCCUCGCCCCGGCGUUUCUCGUCUUCUCCCGUCCCGCUGUUCCGCCUCGGGUCGGUCGGCGCGGCCCCGGGUGCGCCUCGCUUCCCGGGCACGCCGCGGCCCUUCCCUGAGAGGCGUCUGUCCCGGGCGUCGGCGUCCGGGGAGAGCCCCUCCUCCUCCUCCCCCGCGUGGCGUUGCCCCGUUCGGCGCGCGCGUGCGCCCGAGCGCGGCCCGGUGGUCCCUCCCGGCCAGGCGUUCGUGCGAUGGGUGGCGCGAGGGUCGACCUCCGCCUCUGCCGGCCGCUCGCCCCCCUUUCCCCCGGGUCGGGGGGUGGGGCCCGGACCGGGGCCUCGGCCCCGGUCGCGGUCCCUCGUCCCGGGCGUUGGGGGGCGGGCGCGCCGGCCGGCUUCGGUCGGCCCUCCCUCCCUCGGCCGUCGCGUGGCGUGUGCCACCCCUGCCCCCGCGCCCGCCGGGGGGCGGGGCUCGGGGCCGGGCUUCGGCCGGGCCCCGGGCCUCGACCCGGACCGGUGCGCGGGUGCUGCGGCCGCACGGCGCGACUGUCCCCGGGCUGGGGCACCGCGGUCCGCCUCUCGCUCGCCGCCCGGACGUCGGGGCCGCCCCGCUGGGCGGGUGGGGANNNNNNNNNNNNNNNNNNNNNNNNNNNNNNNNGCCCGCCGCGCGCGCGCGCGCGUCGGCCGCCGGUCCCUCGCGGCUGCCGGUCACACGGGCCGGGCGGUCCGCCUCCUCCUCGCACGCGGGCGCGUGAAGGGGGGUGGUGUGUGUGUCGGGUGGGUGUGUGCGGGUGGGGCGUCCGGUUCGCCGCGCCCCCACGCCCGCCCGCCCGGCCGCGCGCCGCCCUACCUCGCUCGCUCGCUCGCUCGCUCCCUCCCUCCCUCCCGGGCGCCGGGCCCGUCCUCGCGAGGCCCCCCGGCGUGGCGUCGUCGUCGGGGCCUCGCCGCGCUCCACC